UUUCCGAAAGAGCAAGCACAAGGACGCAUUCAUCUUCAACUUGGUUGUGACGCCAUUCCCAGCUCCAACAUCCCUCUUCCAGUUUUGACGCCAGCAUAACCUCUCACAACCCACACUUCGGACAAAGUCUGCAAUGAAACAAACAGUAUCCUGCUUUGUCAAUAUGAUCUGUGAACUGCCAACCUAUCCAUUAAUCCAGAAACAUUCUCUGACUGCAGGACUUUUUGUUGAUACAUUCACUGCUUAUUGAAUUAUUCAGAAUUCCUUCAUUUUAACAUAUUUUCAAACAUUAAAAAAGUAGCCUGUAGAUACUAAUGUUAGUCAUGUAAUGACCAAAGAAUUGUAGCAGAUUUUACUUGCUGUACUCAAGCUGAAUAUAAAACUUUUGAAAUACAAAAA